rnacentral:rRNA from 1 species
UGCCAGCCGCCGCGGUAAUACGGAGGGGGCUAGCGUUGUUCGGAAUUACUGGGCGUAAAGCGCGCGUAGGCUGCUGCGCAAGUCGGGUGUGAAAGCCCGGGGCUCAACCCCGGAAGUGCAUUCGAAACUGCGUAGCUAGAAUCUCGGAGAGGGAAGCGGAAUUCUGGGUGUAGAGGUGAAAUUCGUAGAUAUCCAGAGGAACACCAGUGGCGAAGGCGGCUUCCUGGACGAUGAUUGACGCUGAGACGCGAAAGCGUGGGGAGCAAACAGGAUUAGAUA